GUGAAUCAUCGAAUCUUUGAACGCAAAUUGCACUCUCCUCGGAGAGUAUGCCUGUUUGAGGGUCAGCCUAUAAAAAUCGCCAUCGUUGCUGUUUUUCGGUGGCGUUCGUCGGUAAUUGGGUCAUUUUAAAUUCUUUUGAUUUAAGCGUCUUAAAAUUUUCUUUUGGUUCUAUGUACGUUUCUAUGAUCUAUUUUUUUACAUGUUUAAGUUAUCGAUUUUUACUAGUCGUGACCAUCAUCUCGUCUCGCGUCCU
rnacentral:misc_RNA from 1 species